rnacentral:rRNA from 1 species
GUGCCAGCCGCCGCGGUAAUACAGAGGUCCCAAGCGUUGUUCGGAUUCACUGGGCGUAAAGGGUGCGUAGGUGGUGAGGUAAGUUCGGUGUGAAAUCUCCGGGCUCAACCCGGAAAAGGCAUUGAAUACUAUCUUGCUAGAGGUUUGGAGGGGGGACUGGAAUUCUCGGUGUAGCAGUGAAAUGCGUAGAUAUCGAGAGGAACACCGGUGGCGAAGGCGAGUCCCUGGACAACACCUGACACUGAGGCACGAAAGCUAGGGGAGCAAACAGGAUUAGAUAUCCUGGUAGUCCUAGCCCUAAACGGUGCACAUUUGCUGUGGGCGGAAUCGACCCCGUCCGUGGCGAAGCUAACGCGAUAAAUGUGCCGCCUGGGAAGUACGGUCGCAAGAUUAAAACUCAAAUAAAUUGACGG